rnacentral:ncRNA from 1 species
GGGGAGAUAUUAGACUUCGUUUGGUAUUGUCAAUGAAUACCACUACUCUAAUUGUUUCUUACUUACUGGAUAAAAUGGAACGUGUAUCAUUUCCUAGCCAUUAUACGGAUAUAUUUAUUAUAUCUUAUGGUAUUGGGUUUUGAUGCAAGCUUCUUGAUCAAAGUAUCACGAGUUUGUUAUAUAAUCGCAAACAAAUUCUUUAAUAAAACGAUGCAUUUAUGUAUUUUUGAUUUGAAAAUUUGGUAUAACUCCAAUUACUCAGGUAUGAUCCAAUUCAAGGACAUUGCCAGGUAGGGAGUUUGACUGGGGCGGUACAUCUCUCAAAUAAUAACGGAGGUGUCCCAAGGCCAGCUCAGUGCGGACAGAAACCACACAUAGAGCAAAAGGGCAAAUGCUGACUUGAUCUCGGUGUUCAGUACACACAGGGACAGCAAAAGCUCGGCCUAUCGAUCCUUUUGGUUUAAAGAGUUUUUAACAAGAGGUGUCAGAAAAGUUACCAUAGGGAUAACUGGCUUGUGGCGGCCAAGCGUUCAUAGCGACGUCGCUUUUUGAUCCUUCGAUGUCGGCUCUUCCUAUCAUUGUGAAGCAAAAUUCACCAAGCGUUGGAUUGUUCACCCAUGCAAGGGAACGUGAGCUGGGUUUAGACCGUCGUGAGACAGGUUAGUUUUACCCUACUAAUGACAAAACGUUGUUGCGACAGCAUUCCUGCGUAGUACGAGAGGAACCGCAGGUACGGACCAAUGGCACAAUACUUGUUCGAGCGAACAGUGGUAUGACGCUACGUCCGUUGGAUUAUGCCUGAACGCCUCUAAGGUCGUAUCCGUGCUGGACUGCAAUGAUAAAUAAGGGGC